UGCGGGGUGGAGCAGUAGGUAGCUCGUUGGGCUCAUAACCCAAAGGUCACAGGUUCGAGUCCUGUCCCCGCUA
rnacentral:tRNA from 1 species